CAAGUCGAACGAUUAAAGCUUCCUUCGGGAAGUGCAUAGAGUGGCGCACGGGUGAGUAACACGUAAGUAAUCUACCUUCGAGUGGGGAAUAACGUCCGGAAACGGGCGCUAAUACCGCAUAAUGCAGCGGCAUCGCAAGAUGACAGUUGUUAAAGGAGCAAUCCGCUUGAAGAGGAGCUUGCGGCAGAUUAGCUUGUUGGUAAGGUAACGGCUUACCAAGGCUACGAUCUGUAACCGGUCUAAGAGGACGGUCGGUCACACUGACACUGAAUAACGGGUCAGACUCCUACGGGAGGCAGCAGUCGGGAAUUUUGGGCAAUGGGGGAAACCCUGACCCAGCAACGCCGCGUGAAGGAUGAAGUAUUUCGGUAUGUAAACUUCGAAAGAAUAGGAAGAAUUAAUGACGGUACUAUUUAUAAGGUCCGGCUAACUACGUGCCAGCAGCCGCGGUAAUACGUAGGGACCAAGCGUUGUUCGGAUUUACUGGGCGUAAAGGGCGCGUAGGCGGCAUGACAAGUCACUUGUGAAAUCUCCGGGCUUAACUCGGAACGGCCAAGUGAAACUGUCAAGCUAGAGUGCGGAAGGGGCAAUCGGAAUUCUUGGUGUAGCGGUGAAAUGCGUAGAUAUCAAGAGGAACACCUGAGGUGAAGACGGGUUGCUGGGCCGACACUGACGCUGAUGCGCGAAAGCCAGGGGAGCAAACGGGAUUAGAUACCCCGGUAGUCCUGGCCCUAAACGAUGAAUACUUGGUGUCUGGAGUAAUAUGUGCUCCGGGUGCCGUCGCUAACGUUUUUAGUAUUCCGCCUGGGGAGUACGCUCGCAAGAGUGAAACUCAAAGGAAUUGACGGGGACCCGCACAAGCGGUGGAGCAUGUGGUUUAAUUCGACGCACGCGAAGAACCUUACCUAGGCUAGAAUGUGAGGGAA
rnacentral:rRNA from 1 species